rnacentral:tRNA from 2 species
GGGCGGAUGUAGCCAAGUGGAUCAAGGCAGUGGAUU